UAAACAAGAUGGACUUUUGGACAGCACUGCUGCUUUUAACUGUCUGCUGGGCAGGUGUUUAUGGUCAGACUCUGACAGAAUCUGAACCAACAGUUAAGAGACCUGGAGAAUCCCACAGACUGACCUGCACAGCCUCUGGAUUCACAUUCAGCGACUACAGCAUGGUCUGGGUCAGACAGACUCCUGGAAAAGGGCUGGAGUGGAUUGCCUAUAUCAGAUAUGACAGUGCUUACAUCUUUUAUUCUCAGUCAGUUCAAGGCCGGUUUACCAUCUCCAGAGACAACAGCCAACAGCAGGUGUAUCUGCAGAUGAACAGCCUGAAGACUGAAGACUCUGCUGUUUAUUAUUGUGCUCGAGACUCACAGUGA